UCUGGCGACCGGCGCACGGGUGAGUAACACGUAUCCAACCUGCCUUUACUCGGGGAUAGCCUUUCGAAAGAAAGAUUAAUACCCGAUAGCAUAAUGAUUCCGCAUGGUUUCAUUAUUAAAGGAUUCCGGUAAAGGAUGGGGAUGCGUUCCAUUAGGUUGUUGGUGAGGUAACGGCUCACCAAGCCUUCGAUGGAUAGGGGUUCUGAGAGGAAGGUCUCCCACAUUGGAACUGAGACACGGUCCAA
rnacentral:rRNA from 1 species